GCCAUUGCGCGGCUUACACAUGCAAGUCGAGCGGGGAAAGGUAGCUUGCUACCUAACCUAGUGGCGGACGGGUGAGUAAUGCUUAGGAAUCUGCCUAUUAGUGGGGGACAACAUUCCGAAAGGAAUGCUAAUACCGCAUACGCCCUACGGGGGAAAGCAGGGGAUCUUCGGACCUUGCGCUAAUAGAUGAGCCUAAGUCAGAUUAGCUAGUUGGUGGGGUAAAGGCCUACCAAGGCGACGAUCUGUAGCGGGUCUGAGAGGAUGAUCCGCCACACUGGGACUGAGACACGGCCCAGACUCCUACGGGAGGCAGCAGUGGGGAAUAUUGGACAAUGGGCGAGAGCCUGAUCCAGCCAUGCCGCGUGUGUGAAGAAGGCCUUUUGGUUGUAAAGCACUUUAAGCGAGGAGGAGGCUACCGAGAUUAAUACUCUUGGAUAGUGGACGUUACUCGCAGAAUAAGCACCGGCUAACUCUGUGCCAGCAGCCGCGGUAAUACAGAGGGUGCGAGCGUUAAUCGGAUUUACUGGGCGUAAAGCGUGCGUAGGCGGCUUUUUAAGUCGGAUGUGAAAUCCCUGAGCUUAACUUAGGAAUUGCAUUCGAUACUGGGAAGCUAGAGUAUGGGAGAGGAUGGUAGAAUUCCAGGUGUAGCGGUGAAAUGCGUAGAGAUCUGGAGGAAUACCGAUGGCGAAGGCAGCCAUCUGGCCUAAUACUGACGCUGAGGUACGAAAGCAUGGGGAGCAAACAGGAUUAGAUACCCUGGUAGUCCAUGCCGUAAACGAUGUCUACUAGCCGUUGGGGCCUUUGAGGCUUUAGUGGCGCAGCUAACGCGAUAAGUAGACCGCCUGGGGAGUACGGUCGCAAGACUAAAACUCAAAUGAAUUGACGGGGGCCCGCACAAGCGGUGGAGCAUGUGGUUUAAUUCGAUGCAACGCGAAGAACCUUACCUGGUCUUGACAUAGUAAGAACUUUCCAGAGAUGGAUUGGUGCCUUCGGGAACUUACAUACAGGUGCUGCAUGGCUGUCGUCAGCUCGCGUCGUGAGAUGUUGGGUUAAGUCCCGCAACGAGCGCAACCCUUUUCCUUAUUUGCCAGCGGGUUAAGCCGGGAACUUUAAGGAUACUGCCAGUGACAAACUGGAGGAAGGCGGGGACGACGUCAAGUCAUCAUGGCCCUUACGACCAGGGCUACACACGUGCUACAAUGGUCGGUACAAAGGGUUGCUACCUAGCGAUAGGAUGCUAAUCUCAAAAAGCCGAUCGUAGUCCGGAUUGGAGUCUGCAACUCGACUCCAUGAAGUCGGAAUCGCUAGUAAUCGCGGAUCAGAAUGCCGCGGUGAAUACGUUCCCGGGCCUUGUACACACCGCCCGUCACACCAUGGGAAUUUGUUGCACCAGAAGUAGGUAGUCUAACCGCAAGGAGGACGCUACCACGGUGCCCAAUGGG
rnacentral:rRNA from 1 species